rnacentral:rRNA from 1 species
AUUGAACGCUGGCGGCAGGCCUAACACAUGCAAGUCGAGCGGAUGAAGGGAGCUUGCUCCUGGAUUCAGCGGCGGACGGUUGAGUAAUGCCUAGGAAUCUGCCUGGUAGUGGGGGAUAACGUCCGGAAACGGGCGCUAAUACCGAAUACGUCCUGAGGGAGAAAGUGGGGGAUCUUCGGACCUCACGCUAUCAUAUUAUCCUAGGUCGGAUUAGCUAGUUGGUGGGUUAAAGGCCUACCAAGGCGACGAUCCGUAACUGGUCUGAGAGGAUGAUCAGUCACACUGGAAGUGAGAAACGGUCGAGACACCUGCGGGAGGAAGCAGUCGGGAAUAUUAGGCAAGGGGGGAGAGCGUGAUAUAGGAAAGCGGCGGGUGUGAAGAAGGACUAAGGAUGCGAAAGCAAUGUAAGUUGGGGGGAAGGGAAGUAAGUUAACACGUGACUGUAUUGACAGUACCAGCAGAAUAAGCACCGGCUAACUCCGUG